GUCUCCUCAAGCGCACGGAACGCGGCGCUCGGGGGGCCGCCAGCAGCCCCGCACGCCCACGGGAGCUCCUCCGAGCGCGGGGUCUCCGAUCCUGGCAGCCCCCCUCUCCCCGGCGGUGAGGGCGGCCAGCGAGGCGGGCUUCAGAAGGCCCUGCCCAUUAAUUUGCACAUUGUGGAGGGGUUUCAGCCAAGGAGCAAGGGGAGCAAGAGGCAGUGUAAUAACACAUUCAUAUGAAGAAAGGAGAACAUAUUCAUUUACCUAGGAGACUGAAGGCAUAACGAGUCCUGAGCGGCGCAGUCCUUGUGAGUGCAAUCAGACAGGAACCUUCUGGGACAAUGUCAACCUCAGCAACCUCCAUCCUAACAGCAAGCAGCCUCUUUUAUAUUUUGCUACUAUACUGCAACAGAUGCUACGUUUAACUUUUCACUUCACUUCCACCUGUUGAGUUUUUAAACAAAGUCUUUACUGACCUUAAAAAUACUAGUCAACUAGUCAGGAACUAGUCAACAAUUAGAUAACCCCUGUAUGGCCUUAAUUUUUGUGGCAUCUUCCCCUUUGGCAAUAGUUUAAUUUGGUGCCUCAUUAUAUUAUUGGAUGUACCAAAUUUGAAAAGAACCUGUGUCUGCCUUGGAAAUAAUUUGAUUAAAAAAAUAACAAAAUAUAAAUAGAUAAACAUUGGAUAAACCAUGGUGCUCUGUUGUUUAGGGCUUCUGAAGGUCUGUGUUUACAUUAUGUCAUUGGAAAUUAUAGUAGCAGGUUUUAAAAAAAAAAAAAAAAAAGGACAGAUUCUCUGCCAGUAGAUAUUUCAGAUUCCUAGUACAGGUGUGAGUGCUGGUAGUAUUGCAAGGGGAUGACAACCUGGCCAAAGCCCUCCAGACAGUUGUACAGAAUGGCAAGAACAUACAAGCAACGACAUCCUCCUGCCGUAGCAGGAGACGUGGGGUCUCAGAGAUGCCAACAAAGUGAAUACAGAGCAAUUUACGUUAGCUGUAGGUGUGUAAUAAAUUCUGAUGGGUUCGGAAAGGUCUAGAUGAGCAGGCAAUGCCAAAGGAUCACAUGGGAGCAGGGAGAUACUUUUCCCCCAAAAUGUAAAGCAGAGAAGUAAGCAUAAUGAUGCAUUUAAUCUUUUCAUUUAAUAGGAUUAAGAGAUAAACUUCUAUCUAGAGUUAGAAAUAUUACAAAGAGUUGGUGUUUUGUGUUUGAUACAGCAAUAUUAUUUGCUAAUUAUUUUAACAUUAUUAUUGUCCUAAGAUAAUUCAUAGUCCUCUUGUAUACAAAGAGCUAUAAAGUACAACAGCUAGUACCUUAACUAACCUAAAUCUCGUUACCUUGAUGUAAUUACAGAUCUGAAAGAAGCCCGAUAAAUAUUUAGCUUUUGAAUUAGAAGUACCAUUAUGUUUAGCAUCCAGUUUCAUCUACAGCUGUCACUUGUUUUUUUAACAGACUGAUUUUCUUCAGAUAUUCUGCUGUAAAUGGUCACAAAUAAAAAGCCUGCCUUUC